rnacentral:lncRNA from 1 species
CACUCCAUAGUAGUGAUAAGGUCAACAAACAAGAACACUUUUUAUUAAAAGUCCCCUAUUUGGUUUUGGUACGUACGAUAUUGAAACAUGUCCAUAACACACAUAUAUCUUAUACAUUUAUUAUUUGGGAUACAUCUUAUUUGGGAUAUAUAGUCAUUACUGGGUGCGGUCCAGAGUCCUUUACUCCCUGUCUUUCUGGCGGCGGCCGCCAGAGUUCUCGCAAGGCUUCACCGCACCGUCGUUACCAUUGCCAUGGUUGGACGGACGCGUCUUAUUGUGCUCCUCGAAGACACGACCGGUGCUCUGGUAAUUACUGGGCCAUACUCCGACCCCUUUGGCAAACCCAUCGACCGUUCCAAUAAUCCCUCCGGUAAUCCCUCCGGCAACCCCUCCGAUAAGCUUAUCAAACAUUUCUCUUUAUAUAUAUCUACUUGUGUUAAGUUUCUUUGAUAUGGAUAAGUGAUUUAAAUCUUUGAGAUGUUUCUAUAUAUAUAUAUAUAUAUACAAUUCUUGUAGUGUGUAUGAUCUAGUGUUCAUUUAAAUUACUGUUGGAUAAGAUUCCCUUUGGUAUGAUAUGAAUCGUAUUCUUUUUUCUACCACCACCAUACCGAAAGUUGAAUAGACAUGUUUCUUCUAAUUCGGUUCAUCUUGUUAAUCAAAGAUCAGGCCCAUUCACAUGGGAAAUUCCAAUUCCGAAUUGGCUGAAUAUUGAAGGAAGCAUAAUAAUGAAAUUGGAAACUAAACCUAGUCUAGUUCUAUUUAUUAUGUAAAAUCAAGUACCUCAUGUUAGUUAGCUGGCAAAAACAAGAACUAAAGUAGGUUACAUCACUCAAGUGGCCUUGACCCCGUCUGGCCUGACGACUCUUCAAAAUAUACUAGUGAUCAAACACAACCUUCUUUGUAUGAGAUGAUCCAAUUUCCCUUUCUCUCUUCCACUAGAAAGAGCUUAAAAUUAUAUAACAGAAUACGUACGUUGCCUGUCUCUCUUCUUCAAAAAGACGUAGCUUAAUCCUAUUUUUUCUUCCUCUCUAUUCUGAUUUUUAUGGUUUCCGACCAAAUCUCUUGGUCUAAAGCAAGAACCAAUGACGAGAUUAGAUGGUGACCCAGCAUCUCAACGAGAUACUAUAGUCAUAGAGAAAGCUGGACUCUCUACUUCUCCUUUUUCUGGAGAGAGUCAUUAAUUUCUACUUCCACCAUCAUUUCUCAUGGAAAAAAUCCAAUAUUAAACCUAAAUGAAAAUGCCCAGCUACAUGAAUGAUCGACUAUUAUUUAGCAAAAAAUGUCAAUGCUAGAAUCACAAUACAUGUUCUCCUCGAGUCCUAUGGUGCAUCAAUCGUUUCAAAAGUCCCACACAGUGUGGAUCCAAUCUAAGGAGGGUUCUUCUACCGUAGAACUUCUACGUAGCUUACACACGAUCUCUUUAAGAAACCAGACCCAACAAACCCUCAAAAAGAGAUAUGUCGUCGUCUGUGUCAAGUAAGGUUUAGUUCCAAAAAAAGUUUCCCCCAACAUUAUUUUGCCCUAAAGAAAGUAUACCACACCAGAGAACGGUUAUUGGAAGAGAAGUUGUCAAGUUGACCAAUAUAGAAGCCCAUGCAAAAACUAAGGGGCUUCCACAAAUCCUUGUAGAACUUUAUGGUUCAAUAUUCAACAAGGAAAAAAUUAACUUUUAACACAGAAAAUAUAAGGAGGUGGGCCUAUGGGAUUACAGGAUAAUUGAUGAUAUAUAUAUUAGGACAUAAUGUUUCACAUCGGAAGUUGGAAGGGAUCCUAAGUAAUAUAUUAGAAUAUGGGCUUCCAACUCAAAACCAAUUGGCAAUGAGUGGAGUGACCCAUAUCCCUUAUAUAUUACUUAGGAUCCCUUCCAACUUCCGAUGUGGGACAUUACCACUCAUUGCUAAUUGGUUUUGAGUUGGAAGCCCAUAUUCUAAUAUGGUAUCAGAGCCCGAUCCACACAUGUCCAACCCGAUCCGACCCAAAGAUGGUCCAAUCAUCGACAAAGCCCAAAAUUGAUGCCGUCGAUCUAAGCCCGAACAUUCCGAGAUUAAUGGCCAAAGAGCCAUCAUCUCGAGGGGGCGUAUUAGGACAUAAUGUCCCACAUCGGAAGUUGGAAGGGAUCAUAAGUAAUAUAUAAGGGAUAUGGGCCACUCCACUCAUUGCCAAUUGGUUUUAAGUUGGAAGCCCAUAUUCUAAUAAUAUAUAUGCCCGUGAGCAAACAUAUAAUCAUAAACGAGAGAUCAUGUUGGUUAUUCGAUCGAACUAGAUGCCUUUAAUAAUGGAUCAAAAGGCAUGUUUUGACAGCAAUAUUAGUAACGAACAUAGGAAAAUAUAUGUGUGGAUAAGUUCAAUGUAAGGUCCAUCUCCUUCGUGGAAUGGUCUCUUCAAUCGUUACUAUGGAAAUUGCAUCUAAUUCUUACAAAGUUUGAAGAGUAGUCUCUCUCUCUUAACCAAGUGAUAUAGUGGACUUGUUGUUUCACGGAUUCGCAUUGUUCGUCUAGGCCAUGAAAAUAAAUUCCUUAAACGUGGAACUAUCCCGCUUAUAGCCACUCGUCCACGCUUUAAGUGGCAAUAAAACUCAUAUUAAUACUCGGCUCAGGAAUUAGUUUACACUUCGGUCUAUGAAGACCUGGCCCCGAUUAUGUGAUUAUGUUUUUCAACAACCCAUUCAUGAUCCCAUUAUUUAGGAAAAAAAAAAACCAUUCUUCAUGACAUUGUAAAGUUUGAGGUUGUGGAGAAAGAUCCCACAUUGAAAAAAUGGAAAGGACUUGAGUAGUAUAUAAGGGACAUGGGCCUCUCCACUCAUUUCUAAUUAGUUUUGAGUUGGAAGCCCAUGAAACUUAACAUGAUAUCAGAACUUGAACACACGCUGACCUGUUAAUUCGGCCUGGAAAGUGGGACGAUCACUCCCACUAAUUGAUGGUCCAAAGGAAGGUUCAAUUCUCUCGAGAUAGGUAGAAAAACAUUAUCUCGAGGGAAAUUGAUGGAUUCUGUCAAAAUUAAUGGCUAGAAUAGUCAUUAUCUCGAGAUGGUGUGUGGAGAAAGAUCUGACAUUGGAAAGAUGGAAUGGACUUGAGUAGUAUAUAUAUAUAUAAGUGACAUGGGCCUCUCCACUCAUUGCCAAUUGGUUUUGAGUUGGAAGCCCAUAAAACUUAACAAAAAUAAAAGAAAACAAUGUUAUUGCUUUCUUUGAUCAUCUGAAAGAUGAAGCAGUAAAAUCUGAUCAUGCAUCUCUGGCUGAAUAUAAAUCUGAGAUGAUUUCAGCUACACAAUACAACGUUUGAUAAAAGUUUUUUCACAAAUGUUAUUUUUUUUUGCUACGCAUGUAAAUAUCAUUAGAAAUAAACAAACAGGUUUUAUAAAAGAUUGUUAACCUAUACAAUUGAAUCCUUGGCAAAAAAGUUUAAAAACAAGGCAGACAAUAAAGUCAUGGAGACCACUUGGGAGAGAUCACCGCAGCCAUAACACCAUCAGCUUGCUGAAUGGACGUCUACUUCUUCUUGGGGUGAUGGUGUUCUUGAUGUCGUGGUCUAUGCUUCUGAAAAUUGUUUGUGGUGAGAUGGAGAGCAUAUUGUGCAAAACGUUGUUCCGCUUUUCCAUAUAUGGAAAACAGAGGCAUGGGUAACGAGUUUUCGGAGAAUUAAUGGAGCCUAAUUACAUAUGUUAAUUUCUUUACCGUUUUUUAAAACUUUGGUCGAUAAUUGCAAAAUCAUUUUUCUAAUUGUUUCGAUGAAUAGAAACGUUAAAACGAACAUUAUUUUGUAGUUGUCGGUAAUACACGCAAAAACAACUGAUCCCUACUGAACCACUUAACUUAUAAAUUCACUAGUUUUUUUUUAUUUUUAUUUUUCUGGUGUUAUAUAUUCAUUAGGGUCUUCGUUACACGAUAUAUAACAUAACUUUUUAAACUUCAUUUUGUGCAAUUAAUUUCGUGCAAUCAAUCUUUUCACGUGUGUAAUCAAUUCAAACAAGAAAAGUGGCCUGAUAAGAUCAGCUAAUAAUAUGCAUCAAUUAUAUUAAACAUAAGUAGCAACAACAACAUGUACAUAAUAGUAUAGUCACAAGGUAAUCAAACAAGAACACUUUUUAUGAAAAGGGCCCCUAUUUGGUUUUAGUGCAUUUAUUUUUUGGGAUACAUUUAUUAUUUAGGAUACAUCAUUAUUACUGGGUACGGUCUUGAGUCCUUUUACUCCCUGUCUUUCUGGCGGCGGCCGCCGCAGUUCUCUGAAGGCUUCACCACUGCUGCACCGCCGUUACCAUUGCCAUGGUUGACGGGACGCGGCUUAUUGUGAUUCUCGAAGCGGCGACCGUUGCUCUGGUUAUUAUUGGGGCAUAAUCCGGCCCCUCUAGCAAACCCAUCGACCGUUCCAAUAAUACCUCCGGCAACUCCUCCGGUAACUCCUCCGAUAAGCUUAUCAAGCAUUUUUCUUUAUAUAUAUAUAUUCUUGUUUAGUUUUCUUUGAUAUGGAUGAGUGAUUACAAACUUUCAGGGUGUUUCUCUAUAUAUACAGAAUUCCUGUAGUACUAUAAUCUAGUGUUCAUUAGAGAGUUAGUGUUUGAUAUGAUUCCCUUUGGAUAUCAUUCGUAAUUUCAUGGUAUGAUCAUAUGAAUCUUAUUCUUUUUUCUACCACCACCAUACCGAAAGUUGAAUAGACAUGUUUGUUCUAAUUCCGUUCGUCUUUUUAAUUAGAGAUCAGUCCCAUUCACAUAGGAAAUUCCAAUUUCAAAUUGGCUGAAUAUUGGUGGAAGCGUAAUAAUGGAACUAGAAAUUAAACCUAGUCUAGUUCUAUUUAUUACGGAUUUUAAUUUCUGAUUUUAUAAUUCUUUUGAGUAGCGUUGUGUAACUUAGUUUUUUUUUUUUGUUCUAUGUACUUUCCCAAAAGCUAGGUAACAUGAGUAACGCGGCCGUGUUAGGCUAUAUAUGGAGAACACUUGCUUAUGAAUGGUCUGGCGGACUUAAAGAUCCAACUGACGAGAACAGAUGAUGACCCAACUGCACGACGAGAUACUAUGCCGUUUUCAAACUAUAGACACAAAAUUUAUUAACGAAAAAAAAAAAAAAAGAACUCUCAAGGUUACUCUCAAAGCAUCAACUGAAUCAUGAAGAGCUUUAGUAUGCAAAGAAACUAAAAGAGGAAAAUUAUUUUGUUGUCUCCAUGAACACAAUGAUUCAAUUUAUACUUUUAUAAAAAUGAAGAAAGAGAGUUGUUUUGAGACAACUCUCAAGGUUACAAUCAAAGUUUGUAUUACAUAGACAUUUAUAGUAAAUUACUUGUUUGGAACCAUAAAACACAUGGGCGAAUUGACAUUACAUUGGACUUGUUAAUAAUACAAUAGGCUUGUGUCUUUUAUUCUCAAAUAAAAUUAAAUACCGAGAUAAUGUAGGAAAAAGAUGAAAAAAGAAGGCAUGGAUUACUUUCCGCUUUAGUUACCAUAAGCAAAUGAUGAUGAAUUCAAUUUGGAUAGAAAAACACACCACUAAAACUAGCCGUCCCACAUAUAUCAAUCCAGGGAAUUGAAAAGAUCGAACACUUGCUAUUAAAGGAAGUAGUCCAAAAAUUUAGUGAACCCUGUUUAGUCGUCAUAACACAGAUAUAACCGAUAUCUACUUUGAAAAUCGGAGGAAGCCCAUCAAAUAUACCAGAAAGUUGGCAAGAUCUCAUCAAGGAGGGGCAAGAUGAUGAUGGUGACGAUGAUGAUGAUUUUAAUGCUUAAGAAGGUAUCAAAUACCAUUUUUUCUAUUAAGUCUUUGUUUGAUCUCUUCUUUCAUGUUACUCGUGAUACAUUUGAAAUCAUCAGACAUGUUUUAGGAUCAAAGCAAUGUUAUAAGACCCGACCGGGACCUGCGCGCCUGUGGUCGGACCGAUAACCCUAUGAUUUGGUCACUAAACAUGUCUGGAUCCAAUAGUAAUAUUUACUAAUAAAACCAACUAAAUUUUGAAAGAAAAGAAACAUCCAACCAAUAUCGCAUUGACAUGUGAUCCGGUAUUACUGGUUGAAGCGAUUGUAUUCGAAAAUGAUGAUUAACUUUCUGCUUUUUAAUUGUAGUUGUAACAUACUGAUUACAACAUAUUAUAUGUGAUUCUUUAGAUUUCGAUGGAAACUGCACUAGAAUGAAGAAAAUAAGCAAAAUGAUAGUGGAAACAACUAAUAUUAUUUGUCAUCGGCAACUUAUCUUUAGUGUUUUUUUUUUCUUUUGGUUAAAUUUGAAUAUAGAAUGUUCAACUAUAAAAUAAUUCUUCUUAGAGAUCAUAAAAUAUGUAUUGAAUAUUUUUACUUAUAUACAUACUCCAUCCGUAUCACUUUAAGUGAUGUUUUACAAAAAAAAAUAUUUUGUUUCAUUUUAAGCGGAGUUCAACUUUCUAUGUAAAAAUUAAAUGUAUUAAAUAUUUUUUUAUCAAUUAAAGAAGAAGGAACCGAGAAGAAAGUAUCAGCAACAACAUGUUUUAUUAUGGGACAACUCAUGAUAUUCAUAUCUUUUACAAUAUAGUUUAUUAUUGGUUGAAUUAGUUGUAGUUAAUGAUUUUUAACGUUAAAAGGUAGAUUAAAUGAUAUUUGUGAUUUUGUAAUCUGUGUGUAAAAAUCUUAAACUUCACUCGAAAUGAAACAAAGAGAGUAUUAUGUUAUAUAAAUUUUUCUUUGAUCGAUUGAGUUACGGUCGAUCUAGGUCAACCCUAACAGCCGGAUAACUCGGACGAUAGUUCGGUUCGUUGCCAUGUUGGGUAAAAAGACAUUGGAUCUGGCUGAAUUGGAUACCUUUUUAUCUUAUCUUCUUUGUUAUUCCAGGUUGGGCCAAACAUUCUUGGAAGAUUAAAUCUAGAGACGCACAUGUCUAUUCUUGUAUAACUGUACGGUUCCAUAUAUAUCCAACAAGUAGAAAGAAAAAUAACUUUUGAAAAUAUAAAGAAGUGGGCCAAUGGGUUUAGAGGAGAGUUGCUAAGGUAUAUAUGCCCAUAUGAACAAACAGAAAACGAACGGUAAACGAGAACUACUGUUGGUUAUUCAAUCGAACUAGAUGCCUUUAAUAAUUUAUUAAGUGGCGUGUUUUAACCGCAACAUUAGUAUAAAGAACAUAUGAAAAUAUGGGUGGAUAAGAUCAAUGUAAGGUCCAUCUCCGUUGUGGAAUGGUCUCUUCAAUCGUUAUGAUGGAAAUUGCAUGCUUGCAAAGUUUAGAGUGUCUCUCUUAACCAAGUGGUAGUGGAGUUAUAGUUUUGUUGGUCUAAACCAGAAAAAAAAAUUCGCCUCAAACGUGAAAUUAUAGUAACUAGCUUGCUUAGCCAUCCGUCAACCCCUUCAAUGGCAAUAAAAUUCAUAUUUUUAUUGGACUCAGGAAUUAGUCUAGACACUGUUGGCAGUCUAAAGUGAAUUUAGCUUUUCAUUUUGUUUUUAUUAGGUUUAGUAUUUCUAAAAUGCUAUGGUAUAGUAAUUAAAUUUUGAGUACCAUCUUUAAUAGCAGUUACAAAAACUGCGCUAUCGUAUUAUGUUAUCAAUGCUCAUAUUUCUUGUAGUGAGAUUUGGUCUAUAAUAAAGAUCCCGGAUAUUGAAAAGUAUUAAAAAAAUUAUUGACAAUGUAAAGUUCAUUUUAAAACAGAUUUUUUUGAGGUAAAAGAAGACAAUUAAUGUUAUUGAUUUCUUUGAUCAUCUGAAAAAUGAAGCAAUGAAAUCAUACAUGCAGGAGGAAUCAUAUAUCUUUGUAUACAAAUCUGACUUUAAUUAUUCAAUGACAAUUUUUUUACUAGAUAUAUAUAUGAUUAUGAUAGUAAUAUGUUUUAUAUAUUUUAGUUAAGAAUAUAGAGAAUUUAGUUGUCAGAGUUAUCAAACUCUUGUAUACAUAAGAUAUUUAGGUUUAUUCAAUUAUUCCAAUAUCAAUAGAUAGGUUUAUUCAAUUAUUCCAAUAUCAAUAGAUAGGUUUUUCUUUUAAAAAGACGAUUUCAGAGAUAUCAACAAAAUCCGAUGAUGAAUUCAUCUUCGUUUUAUCGUCGACGAUUUACAUACACAAUUCAACGUUUGAUAAAAGUUUUUCUUGUUUUUGUUCAACGAUAAAAGUUGUUAAAAACUAUUAAUUUCGUUACCGUUUGAAUUUUUGGUCUAUAAUUGCAAAAGGCAUUUGUCUUAUUGUUUCGGUAAACCAGAAACAUUAAAACGAACAUGAUUUUGUAGUUGUUGCUGUUAACAAAUAAUUUACCCUAUACAUGUCGUUUGUUGCUGAUACCAGUGACACAUAAAGUUAACUUAUAAUAUAAAAUUUACAAUGGUUUUUGUAACACCACAAUGUUACUUUUAAACCCUUUUUUUGUUACUUUUAAACUUAAUUUUCUGCAAUCAAUCUUUUCAGGUGGGAAAAUCAACUGAUAAUAUACAUCACUUUUAUCAAACAUAAGCAACAACAAGAACACUCUUUAGUAAUCAUAAGGUCAUCAUACGAAAGCACUUCUUUUUGGGUUAAAAGUCCCCUAUUUAGUUUUGGUACGAUACAGAAACAUGACCAUAUAUAUCACACACAUACAUCUUAUACAUUUAUUACUUGGGAUACAUAAUCAUUAUUUUCUUACUUGAACCGGCAGAGUAUCUAGGUGGAGUCUAGAGUCCCUCACUCCCCCACCCGAGUUUGCGGCGCCCGCUGCUUUUGCUGACCUGCCAAUUUUCAGUAGCUUUCACCACUACUGCAUGGCUGUACCCGCUGUCGUGGUUUGGGUUCAUGUACACAUGACGAGGUGGAACUUGGUGAGCCAUUAGCCUGUCUUGUUGCUUCAUCCAUUGGCCGUUGUAGUCCUGCAUCCCAUGCCCGCCUUCGUGCUGAAUCACAUGCAUGUCGUGGUGCUGCAUCCCCUGCCCGCCAUGGUAUGCAACUUCAUGCUGCCCCUGCCACCCAUUACCUAUCUUUCCCAUCUUUCCCUGCAAAAUGAUCAUUAAGCAAAUUAAAAAAUAUAAACUGAUAUGAUGACAAUUGGCAAGGAACGUCUCAAAAGGUUCUAUAUAAUACUAAAUAUUGGUGCUUCUUUUAUACUAUGAGUUUUUGUUAAAAUAGAAAAAGCACAACCUUUUUCCUAAAAAUUAGCUUCAAAACCCUGUGGUCUGAAGGUGGAAGCUAUGGCUUCAUCUGCCUAUGCUUUUUAAAAAAGUCUGACUAUUGGUGUAUUUACAAAUGACUUUUGAUUCUAAAUUAAAACUGUUUAUAUAAUAUUUUUUUAAUGAGUUCCCCCAAAGAAUCAGCCUUUAAAUAUUCUGAUUUAAAUUUUUAGAAAAAAAACUCCUUUGGUAACAAAGAGGGUUUGAAUUUGGGGGCACAAGAGAACCUACCCGCUUUUACCACUAGGUCACUAGCACCUCUUUCGUCUGUGUAUGGUUUUUUGAUGUGUAUAUAUAUAAAUCAUCAACUGUUUUAUUUAGCAAAAUUUUAGCAUCAGUUGUUUCAGGACUCAAAGCAGUUUAAGAUACCUUAUAUAGAUAUAUAUCCUUAAGACACCAAAAGAGAUAACUUACGUUGUGGUGAGGCUGGGUCUGGUAGUGGUAGUUGUUGUUGUUGGUUGCUGGUGGUGGGGGUCUGUAGUUGAGAUGAAGUGGUUGUUGGUGGUGGUUGCUGCUGUGGUGAGGCAACGUCGCAGUAGUGUGGUGGCUCCGGCUGCUCUCAAAGAACUCCUCCACAUCUGAGUCUGAGUCUUCUUCAUCGCAGACAGGCAUGUGAGCCAUGGGUGGACGGCCAUGGUUGGCCGGAAGCCUCAUCCGGGCUUGAUGGUCAUAGUUUAUGGCUUACACUAUUCUACUUCUAAUGAUUACAAGCUUGUUGGAUAUAGCGAUAGCGAUUGGGGUGGAGACAUAGAUGACCGAAAAAGCACAAGUGGUUUCGUGUUUUAUAUUGGAGAUACGGCUUUCACAUGGAUGUCGAAGAAGCAACCGAUUGUCACUCUAUCCACUUGUGAAGCGGAGUAUGUAGCGGCUACUUCAUGUGUGUGCCAUACUAUUUGGUUAAGAAAUCUUUUAAAGGAGUUAAGCUUACCACAAGAUGAACCAACGAAGAUAUUUGUGGAUAACAAGUCGGCAAUAGCAUUGGCGAAGAACCCGGUCUUCCAUGAUCGAAGUAAACACAUUGACACACGCUAUCACUACAUUAGAGAGUGUGUUAACAAGAAGAACGUGCUAUUGGAGUAUGUGAAGACACAUGACCAAGUAGCCGAUAUUUUCACCAAGCCUCUCAAGCGCGAAGAUUUGAUCAAGAUGAUGAGUUUGCUUGGAGUAACAAAAUCAAGUUUAAGAGGGGGUGUUGAAAGUUAAACUUGAUUUUGAAUCAAGUUUAAUUAUUGGGUUAAUUACCCAAUAAUCAUUUGAUGGGCCAAAUCCAAGUUCUAGAGUUUUCUCUACAAAUAUCAUCAUCUCCACCUCCUUAAAAAGUUCUAGAAAUUCUCUAGAAUGAUCUUCCAUCACCUCCUUAAACAUAAUAAUCUAGAUAUUUUUAUAGAAUAAUCUAGAUAAUUGUAUUAUUAUAAUCUAGAUAUUAUGAUGGAAUAAUCUAGAUUUAGAAUUAAAAUAUUUUAGAUAUUUUGUAGUUUGGAGGCUAUAAAUACCACCUCCCUCUCUCAUUUGUAGUAAGAUUGUGAAGUUGUCUUCAAGUUAAAAUCAAAGUAAUAAAAAUUUUAUUUCCUAAAACUCUCUUUCAAACACUUAAACACUUUCUCCAUUACUUCUAAAAGAAUUUUACUCGAACAGAGUAGACAUAUUUAUUCUGAUUCUGUUGGUCUUAAUUAAUGAUUAGUCCAAUUCACGUGGAAAAUUUGAAUUCUUCAUUGACUAAAUAUAUUGAUGGAAGCAUAAUAUAUAAUCUUCAAUUCAUCUUCUUACCACGUACACGUUACCUAGAGUUCGUGAAGCAAUAUGUUUUAUAUAUUUUAAUUAAGAGUAGAGAGUUUAGAUUUCAGAGUUUUGAAACUCUUGUGCACAUAUAUAAUUAAGAUAUUUAGAUUUUGUGGUUUAUUCAACUUUUUCAAUAUCAAUUGAUAAAUGUAGAAAAAAUUUUGUAUAUUUUAAUUUUCUUUGAUAUUUCGUUAUAGGAAUAUAAGAAAACGAUUUCAGAAAUAUUAACAAAAUGAAUUCAUCUUCGUUCUGUCGUCGACGAUUUCACCAACACAAUUAAACGAUUAAUAAAAGUUGUAAACUGUUAAUUUCUGUACCGUUCUGAAGUUUUGGUCUAUAAUUGCAAAAAAACAUUUGUCUAAUUGUUUGAUGAACCGGAAACAUUGAAACGAACAUGAUUUUGUAGUUGGUUCCUGUUAACAAACAAUAUACUAGAUACAUGUCGUUCGUUGCUAAUACCAAUGACACAUGAACGACAUAUCCUACUGCACUACUUAACUUAUAAAUUCACUAGGAUUUUUGUUACGCCACAAUGUUACUUUUAACUUAAAUUUGUGCAAUAUAAUCACUCCUUCCAGGAGGGGAAAUCAACUGAUAAUAUACAUCACUUUUAUUAAACAUAAGCAGCAACAACAACACUCCUUAGUAAUUAUUAUGUCAUCAAACAGAAGCACCUUUUAGGGGUUUAAAGUCCCCUAUUUAGUUUUGAUAAGAUAGAGAAAUCCAUCACACACAUACAUCUUAUAAAUGUAUUAUUUGGGAUACAUAAUCAUUACUUUCUUACUUGAACCGGCAUAGUAUUUAGGUGGAGUCUAGAGUCCCUUACUCCCCCACCCGAGUUUCUGGCCGCUGCUUUUGCUCACCCGCCAAUUCUCAG